rnacentral:rRNA from 1 species
GACGAACGCUGGCGGCGUGCUUAACACAUGCAAGUCGAACGGAAAGGCCCUGCUUUUGUGGUGUGCUCGAGUGGCGAACGGGUGAGUAACACGUGAGUAACCUGCCCUUGACUUUGGGAUAACUUCAGGAAACUGGGGCUACUACCGGAUAGGAGCUCCUGCUGCAUGGUGGGGGUUGGAAAGUUUCGGCGGUUGGGGAUGGACUCGCGGCUUAUCAGCUUGUUGGUGGGGUAGUGGCUUACCAAGGCUUUGACGGGUAGCCGGCCUGAGAGGGUGACCGGCCACAUGGGGACUGAGAGACGGACCAGACUCCUACGGGAGGCAGCAGUGGGGAAUAUUGCACAAUGGGCGGAAGCCUGAUGCAGCAACGCCGCGUGCGGGAUGACGGCCUUCGGGUUGUAAACCGCUUUCGCCUGUGACGAAGCGUGAGUGACGGUAAUGGGUAAAGAAGCACCGGCUAACUACGUG